rnacentral:rRNA from 1 species
AUACGGAGGGUGCAAGCGUUACUCGGAAUCACUGGGCGUAAAGCGCGCGCAGGCGGCUAUUUAAGUUGGAUGUGAAAGCCUACGGCUCAACCGUAGAACUGCAUCCAAAACUAUUUAGCUAGAGUGUGGGAGAGGAAGAUGGAAUUAGUUGUGUAGGGGUAAAAUCCGUAGAGAUAACUAGGAAUACCAAAAGCGAAGGCAAUCUUCUGGAACACUACUGACGCUGAGGCGCGAAAGCGUGGGGAGCAAACGGGAUUAGAAACCCCGUAGUCC